UACGUAGGGGGCUAGCGUUGUCCGGAAUCAUUGGGCGUAAAGAGCGUGUAGGCGGUCCGGUAAGUCCGCUGUGAAAGUCGGGGGCUCAACCCUCGGAUGCCGGUGGAUACUGUCGGGCUUGAGUACGGAAGAGGCGAGUGGAAUUCCUGGUGUAGCGGUGGGAUGCGCAGAUAUCAGGAGGAACACCAAUAGCGAAGGCAGCUCGCUGGGACGUUACUGACACUGAGGCGCGAAAGCGUGGGGAGCGAACAGG
rnacentral:rRNA from 1 species